GAUGAACGCUGGCGGCGUGCCUAAUACAUGCAAGUCGAGCGAACAGAUAAGGAGCUUGCUCCUUUGACGUUAGCGGCGGACGGGUGAGUAACACGUGGGUAACCUACCUAUAAGACUGGGAUAACUUCGGGAAACCGGAGCUAAUACCGGAUAAUAUUUCGAACCGCAUGGUUCGAUAGUGAAAGAUGGUUUUGCUAUCACUUAUAGAUGGACCCGCGCCGUAUUAGCUAGUUGGUAAGGUAACGGCUUACCAAGGCGACGAUACGUAGCCGACCUGAGAGGGUGAUCGGCCACACUGGAACUCAGACACGGUCCAGACUCCUACGGGAGGCAGCAGUAGGGAAUCUUCCGCAAUGGGCGAAAGCCUGACGGAGCAACGCCGCGUGAGUGAUGAAGGUCUUCGGAUCGUAAAACUCUGUUAUUAGGGAAGAACAUACGUGUAAGUAACUGUGCACGUCUUGACGGUACCUAAUCAGAAAGCCACGGCUAACUACGUG
rnacentral:rRNA from 1 species